GACGAACGCUGGCGGCGUGCUUAACACAUGCAAGUCGAACGGAAAGGCCCCUUUGGGGGUACUCGAGUGGCGAACGGGUGAGUAACACGUGAGUAACCUGCCCUUGACUUCGGGAUAACUUCAGGAAACUGGGGCUAAUACCGGAUAGGAAUCCUUGCUGCAUGGUGGGGGUUGGAAAGCUUCGGCGGUUUUGGAUGGACUCGCGGCUUAUCAGCUUGUUGGUGGGGUAGUGGCUUACCAAGGCUUUGACGGGUAGCCGGCCUGAGAGGGCGACCGGCCAAGGUGGGGCUGAGAGCGGGCCCGGCCCCCCGGGGGGGGCGGGAGGGGGGAAUAUGGAAAAAGGGGGGGAAGCUGGAGGCAGCAACGCCGGGGGGGGGAUGGCGGCCUUGGGGUUGAAACCCGUUUUCAGCAGGGGAGAAGCUUGGGGGGGCGGUACCUGAAAAAGAAGCACGGGCAAACAAGGGC
rnacentral:rRNA from 1 species